CUUCUGGUUAGCCUUGUGCAUGGAGCUCAGCAUCUGCUAAAACCCAUCUCAGUUGCUAAAUUAAUUGCUGCUGCUGCUCCUCUGAACCUAGCACCCUUCAGGUGCAGCCUCUGUCUGCACAGAGUGCAGCUUUUAUAACGUUUCAAGGAAACUCCUCAGUGAAGCAGUUGGAGAACACAGUACAAGUAUUAAUACAAAUCAAAUUCCUGUAAGCUUAGUGACUGCUUAGACAAAAACCCACAACUGGUAGUAUAUGAUUCAUCAAGUCUUUGUAAGCAUACACACAUCCCAAAGAAAGAGUUCUACUUAGCAAAAAUCCUUUAAUAAAUUAGAGAAGCUGAAGACACAUAAACAACACAAAGCCCUUCAGUUUGUAUCAUGCUGUGGUUUAGAUAACCUUUACUAUAAUACACUAUAAAUCAGAGGAUCCCACAAUCCUUGUGUGUCUUUGCAAAUACCAGAGCAGACUUUUGAAGCUAUGGGCCAAGGCUAACCAGACAUGAUGAAGAAACUGAGGUGCUGCUGGUUUUGUGGAAACGAGGGAAACUAAAGGAGAGAGAGCCCCUGUUAUAAGUCACCCCUUCCAGGUAUUGGAAAAUCCACCCAGGAAAGAAAUGUGGGAAAUCCUCUUUCA